rnacentral:pre_miRNA from 1 species
GAUUUCAACUAAAAAAGUCAUCAAUAACAAAGUGGUAUAACUCAUCAAGAUCUAUAACUUUUAUUUGGGUCAUUUCUUCAUCCGACAAAGCGAAUUAUAACAUUGUUCACAAAAUAUACAUAUCUCUUAUAUAGUUUAUAAACUAUAAGAGAGAGAGAUGUAAAUUUUGUAAAUAAUGUUACUAUUACUUUGUCGGAUGAAGAAAUGACCAAAAUAAAAGUUAUAGAUAUUGAUGAUUUAUACAACUUUGUUAUUGAUGACUUUUUCAGUUGAAAUC